rnacentral:rRNA from 1 species
GACGAACGCUGGCGGCGUGCUUAACACAUGCAAGUCGAACGAUGAACCGAGAUCUUGCUCUUGGGGAUUAGUGGCGAACGGGUGAGUAACACGUGAGUAACCUGCCCUGGACUCUGGGAUAACCCCGAGAAAUCGGAGCUAAUACCGGAUAGGACCCUGUACCGCAUGGUGUGGGGUGGAAAGUUUUUUCGGUUUGGGAUGGACUCGCGGCCUAUCAGCUUGUUGGUGAGGUAAUGGCUCACCAAGGCGUCGACGGGUAGCCGGCCUGAGAGGGUGACCGGCCACACUGGGACUGAGACACGGCCCAGACUCCUACGGGAGGCAGCAGUGGGGAAUAUUGCACAAUGGGCGCAAGCCUGAUGCAGCAACGCCGCGUGCGGGAUGACGGCCUUCGGGUUGUAAACCGCUUUUAGUAAGGAAGAAGGGGAGCUUGCUCCUUGACGGUACUUGCAGAAAAAGGACCGGCUAACUACGUGCCAGCAGCCGCCGUAAAAC